UAGUAUCAUUAAUUAAACAAAGCCAAACGGUUAGUCUUACAUUUACAUAUUGUAUCCGCAAGCUCACAGAACAGUGAAAACUAAAUUAUAAAUCUACACAUAUUUUAUCGUAAAAAUAAUUAAAUAAUAUGGCGUUUUCCAAAACCAUUAAUUUUUCAAUUACAAUUGCAGCAAUAUUCUUCGUGUCGUUUACAAUUGUUAAUGGCGGUGGUCCUAACGAAAAAGUCUCGUCCAGCAGUGCGCAGCUUUUGGGUACUGAAAUUAUACAUGACUAUAUUGGCAAACAUGGUAUCAACUUACCAUCGGGUAAAGUAGGCUCGACGGGACAAAAGAUAGUUGUACAAAAAGAUAAAGUCCAGUCUAGCAAUGGCCAGCUUUUGGGCUCUGAAGUUAAACAUGACUAUAUUGGCAAAAAUGGUAUAAAAUCUCAAUCGACGGGAAAAGUAGAUACGACAGGACAAAAGAUAGUUGUACAAGAAAAUGAACAAAUGAGGGGAGACUGUUGAUCAUACUAUGACUUUUUUCCAUUGAGUUAACUAAAGAUACUGAGAAUUCUGAGGACUACGAACUGGUUUAAAAGAGAGAAGAUUUAAGAUAAAGAUGAUGUAUCCACAGCGAUUGGUUACGAAAAAGAAACCAAUCCACAACACCUUUAAAUAAAAGAUUACAUAAAUCUUUAAACAUUAAUUUAUUGUAUUUUAAUUUUGUUUUAUCAUCGUACCCUAUAAUAUUUAAAAAUGUGGAAACAUAGUUUUAAAAAAGUUACUAUUUGAUAAUUUACAUAUUUUGUUGUUUUUAUUAAAAUAUGGAUAAUAAUACUACCUUGUACCUAUCUGUGAAAAAUAAUAUUUUUGUUUAUUUGAUAAACAUAUGUUCAACUAUACAAUAAUAAAUAACAAAUUAUGUACAUGUUAA